rnacentral:rRNA from 1 species
GUCCACGCCCUAAACGAUGUCAACUGGUUGUUGGGAGGGUUUCUUCUCAGUAACGAAGCUAACGCGUGAAGUUGACCGCCUGGGGAGUACGGCCGCGAGGUUGAAACUCAAAGGAAUUGACGGGGACCCGCACAAGCUGUGGAUGAUGUGGUUUAAUUCGAUGCAACGCGAAAACCUUACCUACCCUUGACAUGUCAGAGAUCCCGAAGAGAUUUGGGAGUGCUCGAAAGAGAAUCUGAACACAGGUGCUGCAUGGCCGUCGU